CCGAGGGAAACAUGCAAGCUUGCGUCGCAGUUAAGACCCAACCCGUGUGUCUUUGCAUGCAACACCCGACUUAAUUCUUGCAAAACCAGGUCGUAUUUGCUCGCACCCAGUGACGCCCUGUGAGAUCCCGCUCUGCCCGGGAGUGUUGGUAUCACUGUCCGAGAGGAAACAUGUCUGCCGCUGUAGUAAACAACGUUGGCGUGAAGCCCGAAGAAAAACACCAAAAUGAGGAGGAAAAUGCAGAGGACGUAGAUGACAUAGUGGACGGGACGGCGCCCGAGGAGGCCAAGAAGAAGAAGAAAAAGAAAAACAAGAAGAAGGCCGCUGGCGGUGCAGGGUCAGUAAAUGUUCCAGAUGGAGCGGAGGACUUGGCAGAGAAGCUAGAAGCCACAACCUGAAAGAUGGCAAGCCUGAAGCAGAAGAAGGGGGAAGUUCUGCUACCAAGAAGAAGAAUAAAAAGAAGAAGAAGGCAUCAGGGGAAGGUGGCUCUGAGGAAGGGGAAAACAAAGCUGGGUUGGUAAAUGGAACAGCUGACUUGGCAGAUAAGAUGAAGAAAACAGAAAAGCCUGAAGGGGAAGAGGAGGGAAGCUCUUCUAACAAAAAGAAGAAUAAAAAGAAGAAGAAGAAGACUGCAGGACAAGGAGCUGAGGAGGAAGGUGAACAAGAGGAGAAAGAAGAAAAGCAAAUAGCUGAUGGUGAAGAAGAGGGUAGUACUGCUGCCAAGAAGAAAAACAAAAAGAAGAAGAAGAAGAACCAGGGACAAGGAGGUGAAACAGAAGAGAUUGAGGAGCCCAAAGAGGAAGAAGAGGAGGAAGCAUCUGCAAAAAAUAAGAAGAAUAAAAACAAGAAGAAGAAGAAGGCACCAGGGCAAGAAGUGGAGAUGGAAGAAGAGGAGCCAGUAGCCAAAGAAGAGGGCCCUAAAGUACAAACUGACCCUCCAACUGUUCCUAUUGUGGAUCUUUAUCCUGAUGGCAACCUCCCCAUUGGUGAGAUCUGUGAAUACAAGAUCAACAAAGAUGACCGCAGUGCCAUUAACCGCAUGAACUCGGAUGAGAAGAAGGCUCUUGAGACCUCCUUCGAAGAGAUGUACCGUGAAAUCCGUAUUGGCGCUGAAGUCCAUCGCACGACUCGCAAGUAUUUCAAGGAAAACGUGAAACCGGGAAUGUCCAUGAUAGAGAUUUGCCACAUGAUUGAGGAAACCAACCGGAAACUCAUCAAAGAGAAUGGGUUGAAGGCUGGCUUAGCCUUCCCUACUGGCUGCUCCAUCAACCACUGUGCGGCUCACUACACCCCCAACUCAGGCGAUAAGACGGUCCUCAACUAUGAUGACGUAUGCAAGAUAGAUUAUGGAAUCCAUAUCAAUGGUCGUGUGAUCGACUGCGCUUUCACACUAACCUUCAACGAUAGAUACAAUAACCUUGUGGAGGCUGUGCGUGCAGCAACCAACACUGGCAUCAGGGAAGCUGGCAUUGAUGCAAGGCUCUGCGACAUUGGUGCUGCCAUUCAGGAGACGAUGGAAAGUUACGAGAUUGAGCUGAAUGGCAAGACAUAUCCAAUCAAAUGCAUCCGCAAUCUCAAUGGCCAUUCGAUAGCACCUUACAGGAUCCACGCUGGAAAGACGGUCCCAAUUGUCAAAGGAGGAGAAGCAGAAAUCAUGGAGGAAAAUGAAGUGUAUGCCAUUGAAACUUUUGGUUCCACUGGUCGUGGUUAUGUGCACGAUGACAUGGAAACCUCACAUUACAUGAAGAACUACGAUGCUGGACACGUUCCUCUCAGGCUGGCCAAGUCCAAACACCUGCUUAAUGUAAUUAAUCAGAACUUCGGCACUUUGGCCUUUUGCCGCCGUUGGCUGGAUCGCCUUGGAGAAAGCAAGUACCUGAUGGCUCUCAAGGAUCUCUGUGAGAAGGGGAUUAUUGACCCAUACCCUCCACUCUGUGAUGUGAAGGGCUGUUAUACAGCUCAGUUUGAGCACACGAUAGUCCUUCGGCCUACCUGCAAAGAGGUUGUAACUCGUGGAGAUGAUUACUAACUCUCGUCUGAAAAGGUUGUUCCCCCACACUUAACUGGAGAUAGAAUUUCACUUCCUCGUUCUCUGUCCGAGGUAAAGGCAGAUUUGAAAGGGAUGUGAUAUGUGUUACAUAUAUAUUUUUUCAUCCUUUCAGUUGCUGAAUUAUGUGGCAUUAAAAGCACACUCUUUGUUUUCUUGAUUUAUAUAUAUUUUUUUCUCUUUUGGAUAUGCAAGUUCCUAAUCAUUUGUCAUCGAGUGUCACAAAAAGGACAUGGUGUCCAAGACUAGAGAGAUACAGCAAACUAACCCUUGUAAAAUUGCCUUUUUCAUGGAUCAAUACCAAUAUUAUGAUUAAAAAAAAAAAUAAUUUGUGUUUAUAGAGUGUGGGUGAUUUUGUUAAAAGUCUUGAUCAAUUGUUAAUUAGCAAAACAUUCAGAACUGCACUGUUAAUAUAGCCGCAAAAGGCUAGCAAGCAAGAAGGUAUAGAACUAUGGAAUAUUAAACACAAAUGCUGGGGAAGGUGAAAUGUAUUUGAACUAGAUAUUUAGUACAUUGUGAGAGAGAGAUGUAAUAACUGCACAACACUUGUUUGCAUUGCAUCGCCUUGCUGUUCACCUAUAACUGAGCUGCUAGUCUCCUAUGUUACUACUGUGAAUUAUUUGAAAAAUAUAAUCUAUCUACAGUUGCAUUUUCUAUCCUAUAAUUUUUCCAGCAAUAUAUUUUCUCCUUUGUAAUGGGGCACAAGAAGUCAUUUUUAUUCAGAUGUUUACAGUGAUAUAAUUAAAGAAAAAAAAGCAUAGUGUA